UCUUCCGGAGAGCUCGCGGUAGCCGCACGCAGAGAUGGGAGCAGGAGCGACUCCCGUGACGGAGACCGGAGAUAACGAGAAAAUGUUUAAAUCUAAAGGAGAUUCGGUGUCUUUGCCGAAACACUCCUACUGGUUUGACUUUUGGGCGUUCGUGGUCUUUGACAUCGUUUUCUUCCUCGUCAUGUAUUUCAUAGUCCCGUAAACAGGAUCGGCCCCUGGACUCUGGAGACUGAAGACAUGGAGUGCUGGUGGUCCUGUCCUGCUGUCAGGAGUGCUGACUCAGCUUUGACUGAAUUUGUCGCCACAUUAUUGGAUAGCACAUCCCAAGUUUCCACUGCUUGGACCCUGAAACUGCACCUUUAUACAUGUGACAUCCUGCUUUGAUAUCAGAUAUGAACCACAGAACUUCCUCCUGCAACCAGUUGCUGUGGACUGUCUUUGGAUGAAUUCACACUGUGUUUCUAUUUAAAAGUGGCAGUUGUGUCAUCAGGACUUGUAAAAUGUACUUUAAAGCCAUGAAGAAACAAGUGUUAUCACUGUCGAUGUUACUCAGUAGAGCAGACCGGCUCAAUGUUUUUCAUUAUUUAAUCACUUUUAACAAAGAUAAAUUGUUAUCCUCAAAACAAGCUGAAAAAACUAAACCCUGGGGAGAAGAGUCUCACAUCUGGAAAAGAUUUUGUCCUAAGCCAUCUGAUGAUCCAGUGUGUGGACGGGGGGAUUUGAUGACAGCAGAGAAACAAGAUUUGACUUGCACACCAUGAAGAACAAUGAGAUGAGGAGUAUCAUUCCAGCACACUAAACUCCUGAAAGUUUGCACAUGGAAAAUACUGCAAAUAAAGAGUGUUUCCUUAACUGCCAAA